rnacentral:rRNA from 1 species
UACGAAGGGGGGCUAGCGUUGUUCGGAUUUACUGGGCGUAAAGCGCACGUAGGCGGAUUGUUAAGUCAGGGGUGAAAUCCUGGAGCUCAACUCCAGAACUGCCUUUGAUACUGGCAAUCUUGAGUCCGGAAGAGGUGAGUGGAACUCCUAGUGUAGAGGUGGAAUUCGUAGAUAUUAGGAAGAACACCAGUGGCGAAGGCGGCUCACUGGCCGGUACUGACGCUGAGGUGCGAAAGCGUGGGGAGCAAACAGG